rnacentral:rRNA from 1 species
UAGGGAAUCUUCCACAAUGGACGCAAGUCUGAUGGAGCAACGCCGCGUGAGUGAAGAAGGUCUUCGGAUCGUAAAACUCUGUUGUUAGAGAAGAACACGAGUGAGAGUAACUGUUCAUUCGAUGACGGUAUCUAACCAGCAAGUCACGGCUAACUACGUGCCC